rnacentral:rRNA from 1 species
UAGGGAAUCUUCCGCAAUGGACGAAAGUCUGACGGAGCAACGCCGCGUGAGUGAAGAAGGAUUUCGGUUCGUAAAACUCUGUUGUUAGGGAAGAAAAAAUGUAUAGUAACUAUAUACAAAAGAGACGGUACCUAACCAGAAAGCCACGGCUAACUACGUGCCAGCAGCCGCGGUAAUACGUAGGUGGCAAGCGUUGUCCGGAAUUAUUGGGCGUAAAGCGCGCGCAGGUGGUUUAGAAAGUCUGAUGUGAAAGCCCACGGCUCAACCGUGGAGGGUCAUUGGAAACUAAUAAACUUGAGUGCAGGAGAGAAAAGUGGAAAUCCUAGUGUAGCGGUGAAAUGCGUAGAGAUUAGGAGGAACACCGGUGGCGAAAGCGGCUUUUUGGCCUGCAACUGACACUGAGGCGCGAAAGCGUGGGAGCAAACAGG